rnacentral:rRNA from 1 species
AAACCAACUGGGAUUACCUUAGUAACGGCGAGUGAAGCGGUAAAAAGCUCAAAUUUGAAAUCUGGUACUUUCAGUGCCCGAGUUGUAAUUUGUAGAAUCUGUCUUUGAUUAGGUCCUUGUCUAUGUUCCUUGGAACAGGACGUCAUAGAGGGUGAGAAUCCCGUUUGGCGAGGAUACCUUUUCUCUGUAAGACUUUUUCGAAGAGUCGAGUUGUUUGGGAAUGCAGCUCAAAGUGGGUGGUAAAUUCCAUCUAAAGCUAAAUAUUGGCGAGAGACCGAUAGCGAACAAGUACAGUGAUGGAAAGAUGAAAAGAACUUUGAAAAGAGAGUGAAAAAGUACGUGAAAUUGUUGAAAGGGAAGGGCAUUUGAUCAGACAUGGUGUUUUUGCAUGCACUCGCCUCUCGUGGGCUUGGGCCUCUCAAAAAUUUCACUGGGCCAACAUCAAUUCUGGCAGCAGGAUAAAUCAUUAAGAAUGUAGCUACUUCGGUAGUGUUAUAGCUUUUUGGAAUACUGUUAGCCGGGU